CCCUACGGGAGGCAGCAGUGAGGAAUAUUGGUCAAUGGGAGAGAUCCUGAACCAGCCAAGCCGCGUGAGGGAAGACGGCCCUAUGGGUUGUAAACCUCUUUUGUCGGAGAACAAAACCCGGGACGUGUCCCGGACUGCGUGUAUCCGAAGAAAAAGCAUCGGCUAACUCCGUGCCAGCAGCCGCGGUAAUACGUAGGUGGCAAGCGUUAUCCGGAUUUAUUGGGCGUAAAGGGAACGCAGGCGGUCUUUUAAGUCUGAU
rnacentral:rRNA from 1 species